UACGUAGGGGGCAAGCGUUGUCCGGAAUCACUGGGCGUAAAGGGCGCGUAGGCGGCUCAUGAAGGCUGUGGUGAAAGUCCGGGGCUCAACCUCGGAUCGGCCGUGGCGACUCGUGGGCUGGAGCACUGUAGAGGCGGGUGGAAUUCCUGGUGUAGCGGUGAAAUGCGUAGAUAUCAGGAGGAACACCUGCGGUGUAGACGGCUUACUGGACCAUAACUGACGCUGAGGCACGAAAGCGUGGGUAGCAAACAGG
rnacentral:rRNA from 1 species